AAACACAAGCAGCGUACAAGGGAAGUUUGGGUCCAAAACCCUAAAAUUAGAAAAAAGAGCGGCACCCAUUGGCGUUCUUAUAUUGAUUUUAUUAUCAGUUCCUUUCCGCUCCAUCAUCUUCCAUCUCUCUCUCUUCACCCACCAUUCCAUUCCAUGGCUGUGCUCAGGUCCCGCGGAAUACUCUCAACAAUACCCUCAAACAAAAAAGGGCCCACACCCGAACCUGUCACUCCAACUCGAACUCGCGAACCUUCCACUCACCAAUCCCCUCCCACCCCCAACCCCCCCGGUGUUUCCCUUUUGGGCUCCGACUCUGCCCCUCCACGCAGGCGGAGCCUUCGUCUCGCUUCGAAGUCACUUCCUUCUGCCGAUGCCUCCCUUCUAACUCCAACCCGCAAGAGGAAGAAGGGGAGUGAUGGUAAACAAGGUCGGCUUGUUAAUGAAGGUGAUGUGGUUGAGAAAAUGACCGAACGAGAUGUUGGAGGUGAAGUAUUGAGGGUUUUAAGUUUGAGGUCUGGGAAAAGGGUUGUUGAUAAUUGUAAUAUUGAAAUUGAAGGUGAAGAAGUCAAGGGUUCGAGUGUUCUGCGUACAAAAGGGAAGGGAAAGGGAAGGGGGCAUUUGGGUAAGAAAGUGUUAAAGUUGGAUGUUCAAGAGGAGUUGGUGGAAAUUUUGAAUGAUAACGCGGUCGAGAGAAGUGAAAAUUUGGAGAAGUUGAGUGAGUCGUCAAGGGGAAAGAGGAAAUGUACAGGGGAAGUAAAAAUGGAGAGAGGUGAAGAGGGUGGUGUUGCUGUGGAGGACCUGGGGAAAAGCCCUAGUGCUAAUGAGAGUGGGAUUUCAACAAGAGGAAGGAGAAAAUAUAACAGAGAAGUGAAAGUGGAGGGAGUUAAAGAGGGUGUUGUCGAGGGAUUGAAGGAAAACCCAUGUACAGAUGAGAAUGGCACUUCAAGGAGAGGGAGGAGGUAUAGUAGAGAGGAAAAAGAGAAGAGAAGUAAAGAGGGUGCUGUUGUUAUUGAGGAAUUAGGGGAAAAUCCAGUUGCUCUUGAGGGUGGAAGUUCAAGGGGAAGGAUGAGGUAUAGCAGAGAAGAGAAAGGGAAGGGGAAAUUGGUUGUUGAUGAUGGUUUGAUAUCAAAUGCAAAGGAUAUGUUGCAAUUAGAACCCAGAGUUAAGAAUCUGGUUGAUGGUUUGGCAGAGAGUGUGGUUCUGGAAGAGAGAAAGGAGGGUGCGAGUGCAAGAAGUAAAGUGCCUGAAUCAAGAAUGGAGCAAUUUCGUGAUAUAGCAAGGCAGAAUGCUUCUCGAUUUGCUCAUUUUGAAGUUCAGGAGCAUGAGGCAGACCAUCAUGACGUAGAAAUGCCAUCUGUGGAAGAAGAGCAGGACAAAGUUGAAGACUGGCCUGGUCCUUUCUCUACUGCUAUGAAGAUUAUUAGGGAUAGAGCAAAUAGGCUUAACUUGCAACAGAGGGGCUCCACUUCAGAGAAGGAAAAACAUGUGCCCAUAACUUGGAUGCCAAAAACUGAUCGGGCGUGUAAGCCUUCAAAAGGAUUGGUUCCUUCACUGCAAGAAUUAUGCAUGAAAAUUCUAGUGAAGAAUGCCGAUGCAAUUGCUUCACUUGAACAUGUCCCAGAUGCUUUGAGGCAUAGGCUAUGCCAAUUGCUCUGUGAUUCUCGGAGAAUGAAUGCUCAUUUUUUGGCUCUUCUUGUCCGCGGAUCACCUAUGGAGAUACGUAUUAGGGAUUGUUCGUGGCUAGCAGAGGAAGAGUUCACAAAAAUUUUUGAGGUGUGCGACUCGCGCAAUUUAACGGUUCUACAACUUGACCAAUGUGGACGCUGCAUGGCAGAUUAUACUUUACUUGCUACUUUAGCUCGGUCACCAGGUAGCUUGCCUAGGUUAACUACUUUAUCCAUCAGUGGAGCAUGCCGACUCUCAGAUGCUGCACUUUGUUCACUUGUUUCUUCUGCCCCUGCCCUACAAUCUUUAAAUCUCAGCCAGUGCUCCCUUCUUACCUCUGCCAGUAUUGAUACUUUAGCUGAUUCGUUGGCAACAAGUUUGCGGGAACUGUACAUUAAUGAUUGCCAAAGCAUUCAACCCAUGCUCAUUUUGCCAGCACUGAAGAAACUAGAACAUUUAGAAGUGUUGUCCCUGUCUGGAAUUCAAACCAUUAAUGAUAAUUUUUUGAGGGGAUUUAUCGUUGCACGUGGCCAUAAUAUAAAGGAGCUUGUUUUGACUGAUUGUGUGAAAUUGACUGAUUCUUCCAUGAAAGUCAUAGCUGAAACCUGCUCUAAAUUAUGUACACUUGAUCUUGGUAACUUGAGGAAAUUGACAGAUUCUGCUUUGGGAUUUCUUGCAAAUGCUUGCCGAGAAAUCCAUACUUUGAAACUCUGCCGCAAUGCAUUCAGUGAUGAAGCUAUUGCUGCAUUUUUGGAAACUUCUGGAGAGCUUUUAAAAGAACUUUCACUGAAUAAUGUUACGAAGGUUGGCCACUGUACAGCAUUAUCACUUGCUAGACGUUCAAGAAAGUUGCUAAGUUUGGAUUUGUCAUGGUGCCGGAACUUAACAAAUGAGGCUUUGGGUUUGAUUGUGGAUAGUUGUUUAUCAUUGAAGGUGCUUAAACUUUUUGGAUGCAGUCAGGUUACAAAUGUUUUCUUAGAUGGUCACUCAAAUUCAGAUGUACAAAUUAUUGGCUUGAAGACGUCUCCUGUACUGGAACAUAUCAGGGUUCCUGAACUGCAAGAAUUUGCAUUGCGUUAUUCCUCAGUGUCUUCUAUCUGAAGUAUGUGUUGUAGUUACGAGGGUAGAAUGAACAUCAGUAGCGGCCAGGGAAACUUUUGGAGUUCAGCCCAUUAUCAAUACCUGAAGAUAGGACUUCUGAGAUGCUUUAACCAAGAAAAGAAGACAUGAAUAUUGGGCUGUGCAUACAAGUAGAUUGGACUGAUUAACAUUAUUAGCUACUGUUGGGGGAUCUGUACUUGAAAGGAGAUGAUGGAUAAAUUGUUACAAAAACAACUUCAGCGAGCUCAGCACAAGAUGAAACAAAUUUCAGAUGAAGGAAGAACUGAGAGAGUUUUUAGUGGAGGAUUAUGCGUAUUUGAAAUUGCAACCCUACAGGCAAGGAACUGUGGCUUUGAGGAAGAAUUUAAAGCUGCAUCCUCGUUGCUACGGGCCUUAACUCAUAUUACAAAAGUGGGAAAGUUGGCUUAUGGGUUGCAGCUACCGGAAGGGUCGCAGCCGCACCUAGCCUUUCAUGUAUCACUAGUUGGGAAAAAAUAAAACAAAAAAGCAGGCACUAAUGCAGUGGUCACUACCAAUUUGCCUACUUUGAGCGAUACUGGGCACAAUUAAGCUUUAUCCUGAAGCAGUACUGGACAGGAAGAUAAUGAAGAGGAACAACGGUGUAGUUGUCAUGGGAUUAACUAAGUGGACUUCUCUGCCUAAAGAAGAUGCGACUCGGGAACAACUGAGUGAAGUAGUGCUUCAGUUUCCAGACAUCAAUUUCUAUCCUUGAGGUCAAGGAUUUGGUGAAGAGAAGGGAAAUGUUAUGAGACAGUAUACGAGUCUACUUCAACUUACAUACAAGUCAGGCCAUAUCAUAAAACAAGUGUUAUAGCUAGCUAUAUAGGCAGCUCGUUAGAAGACUGGUAGUUCUAUUUUAACUGUCAGGUUAGUUCAUUAAGGUAGUUAGAGAUUCGAGUUUUCUAGGAGAAGCCAAUCUCACGUUGUAUAAGCUUUUCUGUUUGUAAAGCAUUCAUAAGAAAUAAUAUCAAAUUUGUUAGCUUCUUCAAAGCUAAAUUUCUCUCA